UAGGACCUGGAAGAUUACACAUAAGGAGAUUUUAAUGGCAACAGGGUGGUCAAACAGAGCAAUGGGGCAGGUUGUCACUGAUUGAAUAAUACUACAAGAGCAAAUACAAGACAG